CCGACCUCAGAUCAGGCGGGACUACCCGCCGGAU
rnacentral:rRNA from 7 species